rnacentral:tRNA from 1 species
GGGCCGUUAGCUCAGCGGAUAGAGCGGGGGCUUUCUAAUCCCUAGGUGGCGAGUUCGACUCUCGCACGGCCCU